UACAGUGCGAUGUGGGGACGGAGAAGGUUAGGUCUACCAGGCGUUGGUUGUCCUGGGGAAAGGCGGUAGGCAUGAUUCUUAGGCAAAUCCGGGAAUCUCUAUGCCGAGCACCGAGACGAGUCCUAUGAGGACGAAGUGACUGACACCACGCUUCCAGGAAAAGCCACUAAGCUUCAGCUGUAGAAAAACCGUACCGCAAACCGACACAGGUAGGCAGGGUGAGAAUCCCAAGGCGCUUGAGAGAACUCGGGUGAAGGAACUAGGCAAAAUGGCACCGUAACUUCGGGAGAAGGUGCGCCCCUUGGUGUGGUCACGCGCGUGACUGAGCAUCGAGGGGUCGCAGUAACCUGGCCGCUGCGACUGUUUAUCAAAAACACAGCACCCUGCAAACACGAAAGUGGACGUAUAGGGUGUGACGCCUGCCCGGUGCUGGAAGGUUAAUUGAUGGGGUCAGCCGCAAGGCGAAGCUCUUGAUCGAAGCCCCAGUAAACGGCGGCCGUAACUAUAACGGUCCUAAGGUAGCGAAAUUCCUUGUCGGGUAAGUUCCGACCUGCACGAAUGGCGUAACGACAGCGGCGCUGUCUCCACCCGAGACUCAGUGAAAUUGAAAUCGCUGUGAAGAUGCAGCGUUCCCGCGGCAAGGCGGAAAGACCCCGUGAACCUUUACUAUAGCUUUACACUGAACGUUGAGUUCUUCUGUGUAGGAUAGGUGGGAGGCUAUGAAACCAGGACGCUAGUUCUGGUGGAGCCAUCCUUGAAAUACCACCCUGAAGUGCUUGACGUUCUAACCUAGGUCCGUAAUCCGGAUCGGGGACCGUGUAUGGUGGGUAGUUUGACUGGGGCGGUCUCCUCCCAGAGAGUAACGGAGGAGCACGAAGGUACGCUCAGCGCGGUCGGACAUCGCGCACUGUGUGCAAAGGCAUAAGCGUGCUUGACUGCGAGAUCGACGGAUCAAGCAGGUACGAAAGUAGGUCUUAGUGAUCCGGUGGUUCUGUAUGGAAGGGCCAUCGCUCAACGGAUAAAAGGUACUCCGGGGAUAACAGGCUGAUACCGCCCAAGAGUUCAUAUCGACGGCGGUGUUUGGCACCUCGAUGUCGGCUCAUCACAUCCUGGGGCUGUAGCCGGUCCCAAGGGUAUGGCUGUUCGCCAUUUAAAGUGGUACGCGAGCUGGGUUCAGAACGUCGUGAGACAGUUCGGUCCCUAUCUGUCGUGGGCGUUGGAGAUUUGAGGGGGGCUGCUCCUAGUACGAGAGGACCGGAGUGGACGUUCCGCUGGUGUUCGGGUUGUCAUGCCCAUGGCAUUGCCCGGUAGCUACGAACGGAAGUGAUAACCGCUGAAAGCAUCUAAGCGGGAAGCACGCCCCAAGAUGAGAUCUCCCGAGAGCUUGACUCUCCUAAAGGCACCAUCAAGACUAGGUGGUUGAUAGGCACGGUGUGGAAGUGCAGCAAUGCAUUGAGCUUACGUGUACUAAUGAGCCGUGAGGCUUGACC
rnacentral:rRNA from 1 species